CAAAACAAAGUGUCUGAGUUUGGACUAUCUCGAGCUGUGUAUUAUUCUCACAGAAAGCAGGAAUAUUGCCUUUCAGAUGUUACUGGACAAUAACAUAAUCUUAGCCGCCAUGGUGAUGAGGAGAAGGCAAUUGCAAUCCAGCACCCCUUGGUGGGCCACAGUCCAGCAAAAAAGCUAAAAAGAUGCUGAGUGAACUGCACAUCUGAGUUGUGAUCUCCUAUAUCCAAGAGUUAAAUCCUAGAUGUGUCUGCUGAGAAGCAAAUCCCAUUGAAUUCACUGAUGCCUCCUUCCAAGCAAGUAGAUAAAGGAGCCCUACCUAAAUACAGAUAGUCCCAGUCCUCAUUGUAACCCAACUUCAGGAGCUCACUUCAAUGCAUGGCGUCAUCAGAUGACACGAAACACCCCAGUUCCACUCAGAGCUGAAUAUCUGUCUAAAGCUCGUGCACAGUACAGUCCUAAUAAAA